rnacentral:rRNA from 1 species
CAGUAGCCGCGGUAACACGUAGGUGGCAAGCGUUGUCCGGAAUUAUUGGCGUAAAGCGCGCGCAGGUGGUUUAAUAAGUCUGAUGUGAAAGCCCACGGCUCAACCGUGGAGGGUCAUUGGAAACUGUUAAACUUGAGUGCAGGAGAGAAAAGUGGAAUUCCUAGUGUAGCGGUGAAAUGCGUAGAGAUUAGGAGGAACACCAGUGGCGAAGGCGGCUUUUUGGCCUGUAACUGACACUGAGGCGCGAAAGCGUGGGGAGCAAACAGGAUUAGAUACCCGCGUAGUCCCUGUCUCUUAUACA